rnacentral:rRNA from 1 species
UACGCAACUUUCCUUCAAGCGGGGAAUAGCCCGGGGAAACCCGGAUUAAUACCCUAUAUUAUAUUUGAAUGGCAUCAUUUAAAUAUUAAAGCUUCGGCACUUGAUGAUGGGCGUGCGGCUGAUUAGGUAGUUGGCGGAGUAAUAGCCCACCAAGCCUACGAUCAGUAGCUGAUGUGAGAGCAUGAUCAGCCACACGGGCACUGAGACACGGGCCCG